CACGUAGGUGGCGAGCGUUACUCGGAAUCACUGGGCAUAAAGCGCACGUAGGCUGCCUCGUAAGUCGGGUGUGAAAUCCCGCGGCUCAACCGCGGAACUGCGCCCGAUACUGCGGGGCUAGAGGCCGGUAGGGGAGAGUGGAAUUCCUGGUGGAGCGGUGAAAUGCGUUGAUAUCAGGAGGAACGCCGGUGGCGAAAGCGGCUCUCUGGUCCGGUUCUGACGCUCAGGUGCGAAAGCCAGGGGAGCAAACGGG
rnacentral:misc_RNA from 1 species